rnacentral:rRNA from 1 species
UACGUAGGGGGCAAGCGUUGUCCGGAAUCAUUGGGCGUAAAGAGCGCGUAGGCGGCCCGAUAAGUCCGCUGUGAAAGCCCAGGGCUCAACCCUGGGAUGCCGGUGGAUACUGUCGGGCUAGAGUGCGGAAGAGGCGAGUGGAAUUCCUGGUGUAGCGGUGAAAUGCGCAGAUAUCAGGAGGAACACCGGUGGCGAAGGCGGUUCUCUGGGCAUUACCUGACGCUGAGGAGCGAAAGUGUGGGGAGCGAACAGG